UGGGGGAAUAUUGCACAAUGGGCGCAAGCCUGAUGCAGCCAUGCCGCGUGUGUGAAGAAGGCCUUCGGGUUGUAAAGCACUUUCAGCGAGGAGGAAGGUGGUGAGCUUAGUACGCUCAUCAAUUGACGUUACUCGCAGAAGAAGCACCGGCUAACUCCGUGCCAGCAGCCGCGGUAAUACGGAGGGUGCAAGCGUUAAUCGGAAUUACUGGGCGUAAAGCGCACGCAGGCGGUUUGUUAAGUCAGAUGUGAAAUCCCCGGGCUCAACCUGGGAACUGCAUUUGAAACUGGCAAGCUAGAGUCUCGUAGAGAGGGGUAGAAUUCCAGGUGUAGCGGUGAAAUGCGUAGAGAUCUGGAGGAAUACCGGUGGCGAAGGCGGCCCCCUGGACGAAGACUGACGCUCAGGUGCGAAAGCGUGGGGAGCAAACAGGAUUAAAUACCCUGGUAGUCCACGCUGUAAACGAUGUCGAUUUGGAGGUUGUGCCUUGAGGCGUGGCUUCCGGAGCUAACGCGUU
rnacentral:rRNA from 1 species